rnacentral:rRNA from 1 species
AUUUUAGUUCAUUUAGAGGAAUCUGUUUAAUAAUUGAUAAUCCACGAAUAAAUUUACUUAAUUUUUUAUUUUGUAUAUCGUUGUUAAAAAAAUAUUUUUUAAUAAUAAUAAUAUUUAAAAAUUUUGAUUAAAAAUUAAAUCAGAUCAAGAUGCAGAUUAUAAUUAAGAAUAUAAUGGAUUACAAUAAAUUUAUUUAGAUGAAUAUUAAUUUGUAAAAGUUAAUUGAAGGUGGAUUUAAAUGUAAUUUUAUUUAGUUUAAUAAAAUGAUUGAAAAUUGAAAUAUGUACACAUCGCCCGUCGCUCUU